rnacentral:rRNA from 1 species
AACGCGAAGAACCUUACCAAGGCUUGACAUAAUACUGAAAGGCCUAGAGAUAGGUCCCUCCUUCGGGACAGUAUUACAGGUGGUGCAUGGUUGUCGUCAGCUCGUGUCGUGAGAUGUUGGGUUAAGUCCCGCAACGAGCGCAACCCUUGUUGUUAGUUGCCAGCAUUAAGUUGGGCACUCUGACGAGACUGCCGGUGAUAAAUCGGAGGAAGGUGGGGACGACGUCAAAUCAUCAUGCCCCUUAUGUCUUGGGCUACACACGUACUACAAUGGCUAUUACAGAAGGAAGCCAAGGAGUAAUCUGGAGCAAAUCCCAAAAGAUAGUCUCAGUUCGGAUUGUGGGCUGCAACUCGCCCACAUGAAGUCGGAAUUGCUAGUAAUUGCAGGUCAGCAUACUGCAGUGAAUACGUUCCCGGGUCUUGUACACACCG